UGAGAUGUAGCUCAGUGGUAGAGCACUUCUCUAACAUGUAGGAGGCCCUGGGUUCAAUGCCUAUCACUACAA
rnacentral:tRNA from 1 species